UAGCGAAAGCACAAAAAUCCGUGUUGUU
rnacentral:sRNA from 1 species